CCUACGGGAGGCAGCAGUGGGGAAUAUUGGGCAAUGGAGGCAACUCUGACCCAGCGACGCCGCGUGAAUGAUGAAGGUCUUCGGAUUGUAAAGCUCUUUUUGAAGGGAAGAAGAAAGUGACGGUACCUUAGGAAUAAGCGUCGGCUAACUACGUGCCAGCAGCCGCUGUAAUACGUAGGCGGCAGGCGUUAUCCGGAAUGACUGGGUGUAAAGGGUGCGUAGGUGGUUUGAGAAGUCAGUUGCGAAAGUCCGGGGCUCAACCGGGGAACUACUGCUAAAACUGAUGGACUUGAGUACAGGGGAGGUAAGCGGAAUUCCUGGUGUAGCGGUGGAAUGCGUAGAUAUUAGGAGGAACACCAGUGGCGAAGGCGGAUUACUGGACUGUAACUGACACUGAGGCACGAAAGCGUGGGGAGCAAACAGGAUUAGAUACCCUAGUAGUC
rnacentral:rRNA from 1 species